GCAUAUCCAAUAAAGCAGGAGGGAAUAAGAAACCAGCAGGGGAUUGCCUCAGUAACGGCGAGUGAAGCGGCAACAGCUCAAAUUUGAAAUCUGGCCCCCCGGCCCGAGUUGUAAUUUGCAGAGGAUGCUUCGGGCGCGGUGCCUUCCAAGUCCCCUGGAACGGGGCGCCGGAGAGGGUGAGAGCCCCGUACGGUUGGCGGCCAAGCCUGUGUGAAGCUCCUUCGACGAGUCGAGUAGUUUGGGAAUGCUGCUCUAAGCGGGAGGUAGACCCCUUCUAAAGCUAAAUAUAGGCCAGAGACCGAUAGCGCACAAGUAGAGUGAUCGAAAGAUGAAAAGCACUUUGAAAAGAGGGUUAAACAGCACGUGAAAUUGUUGAAAGGGAAGCGCUUGCGACCAGACGUGCGCCGGGGUGCUCAGCGGGCGUUCUCGCCCGUGCACUCGCCCCGGCGCAGGCCAGCGUCGGUUCGCGUGGGAGGAUAAAGGCGCCUGGAAUGUGGCUCCCUCGGGAGUGUUAUAGCCAGGCGUGCCAUGCUCCCCUGCGGACCGAGGUACGCGUUCUGCAAGGACGCUGGCGUAAUGGUCCCCAGCGACCCGUCUUGAAACACGGACCAAGGAGUCGAGGUUUUGCGCGAGUGUUUGGGUGUUAAACCCGCACGCGUAAUGAAAGUGAACGUAGGUGGGAGCUUCGGCGCACCACCGACCGAUCCUGAUGUUCUCGGAUGGAUUUGAGUAAGAGCGUAGGGCCUCGGACCCGAAAGAUGGUGAACUAUGCUUGGAUAGGGUGAAGCCAGAGGAAACUCUGGUGGAGGCUCGCAGCGGUUCUGACGUGCAAAUCGAUCGUCAAAUCUGAGCAUGGGGGCGAAAAGACUAAUCGGAACCAUCUAGUAGCUGGUUACCGCCGAAGU
rnacentral:rRNA from 1 species